rnacentral:lncRNA from 1 species
GCGGCGGAGCGGGGGCCUCGCCAUAGGCGGCGUAGCGGGAGCCUGGCGCCGGCAGCUGCGCGGGGGCCUGGCCUCGGCUCGGGGGCCUCGUCGCGGGAGCGGCAGCGGCAGUGGACGCGAGGCGGCUGCGACUGUUUCUCGUCCCAACCUCGUGCUGCAGAUCCGGCAGUGGCGAGCUCCGUUGGCGUUGUCAGGCCCUCCGCCGGCGACCAUAAGCGGGAAAAUGGGCGCCGCGAGGAGGACGGUGAGCGCAGCGGCGCUACGACACAACUAGAAUUGUAUCUUUUCCUGAGUGUUUCCAAUUUGGUGGCCGACGGUUAACAGCUAACGGUGAGAGUUUCAGACCAUACAGCAUUUGGUCGGUGAUUCAUCACCAGUUUGAAAAUUUGUGAAGAUUCUCGAUCCCCGUCGGUCAUCUGUUGGAAACGCGCAGCAAAACAUGCGAUUCUUGUUGUGGAGCUUCCAGCCGUGGCCCCCGCAAAGCGGCGUGGGAGGAAACCGCGCCCGCCUCAACGCGGUUCUGGCAGUCUUUGCCGCUUGGAGAAUGUGCCGACACUGUUUCGUGUACAAACAAUGUCUUCAUUUUCUCCCUUCUCUCCUCGUUGACUCUCCCGCCGUAUCUUCAUUUACUUAUGUAGCAAUUUAUUUAUUAAUGGUAUGGACACCAGCUGACCUAGAGGGUUUGGCAGUACCCUUUGGUGGCCAUUGUUGCCUGCUUCAGCUAUCGACUCAUCUCGAUAAAAGAUACACUCCGAGAGUUAGAGCCUAGUCCUUGCACACCUCGCUACCAACUACCGGCUAUCAAUGAUACUUAUCCCUGUUUGUUUGAGAUUAUAAUCUAUCUAGAUUAUAUAAGCUAAAUUAUGGGUCAUGGGU